rnacentral:rRNA from 2 species
UGGGGAAUAUUGCACAAUGGGCGAAAGCCUGAUGCAGCGACGCCGCGUGCGGGAUGAAGGCCUUCGGGUUGUAAACCGCUUUCAGCAGGGACGAGGCCGCAAGGUGACGGUACCUGCAGAAGAAGCCCCGGCUAACUACGUGCCAGCAGCCGCGGUAAUACGUAGGGGGCAAGCGUUAUCCGGAUUCAUUGGGCGUAAAGCGCGUGUAGGCGGUCUGUUAGGUCGGGAGUCAAAUCCGGGGGCUCAACCCCCGUCCGCUCCCGAUACCGGCAGACUUGAGUUCGGUAGGGGAAAGUGGAAUUCCAAGUGUAGCGGUGGAAUGCGCAGAUAUUUGGAAGAACACCAGUGGCGAAGGCGGCUUUCUGGGCCGUAACUGACGCUGAGACGCGAAAGCUAGGGGAGCGAACAGG